rnacentral:rRNA from 1 species
AUUGAACGCUGGCGGCAUGCCUUACACAUGCAAGUCGAACGGCAGCACGGGUGCUUGCACCUGGUGGCGAGUGGCGAACGGGUGAGUAAUACAUCGGAACGUACCUUAUCGUGGGGGAUAACGCAGCGAAAGCUUUGCUAAUACCGCAUACGCCCUGAGGGGGAAAGCGGGGGAUCGCAAGACCUCGCGCGAUUAGAGCGGCCGAUGCCUGAUUAGCUUGUUGGUGGGGUAAACGCCCACCAAGGCGACGAUCAGUAGCUGGUCUGAGAGGACGAUCAGCCACACUGGGACUGAGACACGGCCCAGACUCCUACGGGAGGCAGCAGUGGGGAAUUUUGGACAAUGGGGGCAACCCUGAUCCAGCAAUGCCGCGUGAGUGAAGAAGGCCUUCGGGUUGUAAAGCUCUUUUGUCAGGGAAGAAACACCGGCUCUAACACAGUCCGGGAAUGACGGUACCUGAAGAAUAAGCACCGGCUAACUACGUGCCAGCAGCCGCGGUAA